ensembl:lncRNA
CCCCGCCCCCGCCGCUCGGGGUCUCACCUCCACCUUGCGCGCAGCCGCGCGGUCCGAAAAGCAUCCGCCGCCCUCAGGGGCCGCGUCCCGCCUCCUCGCGCCGCGUGGUGCCUCCUUCGGUCACCCGGUGUCCUCACCUCAUAGCUCCAGAGCCUCACCGUCCGCGUCCCAGACGCGUCGCUGCCCACGGUGAGCCACCCGGACACCGCCCGGGUCCGGUGGAAGGACACGAAAAGGAGUCCGUGACCGACGGCGGAGGGACACCACGUCGGCAGCUGGCGUGCGCGCUCCCGUCCGGCGCUGGCCUCCGCGGUGACUUCGACGGGAUUUUGUGAGCCAUAAGAUGAACAGCUCUGCACUGCCACACCACACACUCCCUGCCAUGGAGUGCUUCCUGGUCCCAGAGCCCAAAGCAGCAGGGCCUCCUAUUGUGGACCGGAAUCUGCAAAACCUGUUUGCCCUGAAGUUGGAAGACUGACUGUAUGGUGCUUCCCAAGAACACUUGCUGCAAGGCUGAAUUUUUGGAGAAAGACUUUGAGGCUGACCAGACAUGCAGGAGGCUGAUUAGAGACUGCUCUUGGGACAGAGGCCCGUGGAAAAGGAUUGAAGUGGGAGAAGGGGAAUGGGGGGAAGAGAUCUGAGAUGCAAAUCCCCUUGG